rnacentral:rRNA from 1 species
GACGGAGGAUGCAAGCGUUAUCCGGAAUUAUUGGGCGUAAAGCGUCCGCAGGUGGCCUAUCAAGUCUGCUGUCAAAGACCGGGGCUUAACCCCAGAAAGGCAGUGGAAACUGAGAGGCUAGAGGAUGGUAGGGGCAGAGGGAAUUCCCAGUGUAGCGGUGAAAUGCGUAGAGAUUGGGAAGAACACCGGUGGCGAAAGCGCUCUGCUGGGCCAUAACUGACACUCAGGGACGAAAGCUAGGGGAGCGAAUGGG